UCCCUGAAUGAGAGUCUGACGGAGCACGCCGCGUGAGUGAUGAAGGUUUUCGGAUCGUAAAGCUCUGUUGUUAGGGAAGAACAAGUGCCGUUCAAAUAGGGCGGCACCUUGACGGUACCUAACCAGAAAGCCACGGCUAACUACGUGCCAGCAGCCGCGGUAAUACGUAGGUGGCAAGCGUUGUCCGGAAUUAUUGGGCGUAAAGGGCUCGCAGGCGGUUUCUUAAGUCUGAUGUGAAAGCCCCCGGCUCAACCGGGGAGGGUCAUUGGAAACUGGGGAACUUGAGUGCAGAAGAGGAGAGUGGAAUUCCACGUGUAGCGGUGAAAUGCGUAGAGAUGUGGAGGAACACCAGUGGCGAAGGCGACUCUCUGGUCUGUAACUGACGCUGAGGAGCGAAAGCGUGGGGAGCGAACAGGAUUAGAUACCCUGGUAGUCCACGCCGUAAACGAUGAGUGCUAAGUGUUAGGGGGUUUCCGCCCCUUAGUGCUGCAGCUAACGCAUUAAGCACUC
rnacentral:rRNA from 1 species